UCUUCGGACAUUUUCCUUGCUGUUGUGUUAUCUAUUCUCCUUGCUUCUGUUUUUUCCCCUCCUCGCUUCUGCUUCUCUGCUUAAUACCUUCGCUUCUGCUUCUCUGGUUAAUACCUCUCAACGUCCUCGAACAGCCUUGUCUGUUCCUGUUUUUUUUUCCUCACCUUUUUGUUUUACCCGGUUUCCUUUAAGUUGCUUGCAGCAGUUUCUGUUUGCUUACACCGGUAUUAAUCAGUUCUGUUAUGGGUUUUGAUUUAUUUAUUGGGAGGCCGUGCGUGA
rnacentral:lncRNA from 1 species